rnacentral:rRNA from 1 species
GGUUAAGCGACUAAGCGUACACGGUGGAUGCCCUGGCAGUCAGAGGCGAUGAAGGACGUGCUAAUCUGCGAUAAGCGUCGGUAAGGUGAUAUGAACCGUUAUAACCGGCGAUUUCCGAAUGGGGAAACCCAGUGUGUUUCGACACACUAUCAUUAACUGAAUCCAUAGGUUAAUGAGGCGAACCGGGGGAACUGAAACAUCUAAGUACCCCUGAGGAAAAGAAAUCAACCGAGAUUCCCCCAGUAGCGGCGAGCGAACGGGGAGCAGCCCAGAGCCUGAAUCAGUGUGUGUGUUAGUGGAAGCGUCUGGAAAGGCGCGCGAUACAGGGUGACAGCCCCGUACACAAAAAUGCACAUAUUGUGAGCUCGAUGAGUAGGGCGGGACACGUGGUAUCCUGUCUGAAUAUGGGGGGACCAUCCUCCAAGGCUAAAUACUCCUGACUGACCGAUAGUGAACCAGUACCGUGAGGGAAAGGCGAAAAGAACCCCGGCGAGGGGAGUGAAAAAGAACCUGAAACCGUGUACGUACAAGCAGUGGGAGCACAGAGCAAUCUGUGUGACUGCGUACCUUUUGUAUAAUGGGUCAGCGACUUAUAUUCUGUAGCAAGGUUAACCGAAUAGGGGAGCCGAAGGGAAACCGAGUCUUAACUGGGCGUUAAGUUGCAGGGUAUAGACCCGAAACCCGGUGAUCUAGCCAUGGGCAGGUUGAAGGUUGGGUAACACUAACUGGAGGACCGAACCGACUAAUGUUGAAAAAUUAGCGGAUGACUUGUGGCUGGGGGUGAAAGGCCAAUCAAACCGGGAGAUAGCUGGUUCUCCCCGAAAGCUAUUUAGGUAGCGCCUCGUGAAUUCAUCUCCGGGGGUAGAGCACUGUUUCGGCAAGGGGGUCAUCCCGACUUACCAACCCGAUGCAAACUGCGAAUACCGGAGAAUGUUAUCACGGGAGACACACGGCGGGUGCUAACGUCCGUCGUGAAGAGGGAAACAACCCAGACCGCCAGCUAAGGUCCCAAAGUCAUGGUUAAGUGGGAAACGAUGUGGGAAGGCCCAGACAGCCAGGAUGUUGGCUUAGAAGCAGCCAUCAUUUAAAGAAAGCGUAAUAGCUCACUGGUCGAGUCGGCCUGCGCGGAAGAUGUAACGGGGCUAAACCAUGCACCGAAGCUGCGGCAGCGACGCUUAUGCGUUGUUGGGUAGGGGAGCGUUCUGUAAGCCUGUGAAGGUGUGCUGUGAGGCAUGCUGGAGGUAUCAGAAGUGCGAAUGCUGACAUAAGUAACGAUAAAGCGGGUGAAAAGCCCGCUCGCCGGAAGACCAAGGGUUCCUGUCCAACGUUAAUCGGGGCAGGGGUGAGUCGACCCCUAAGGCGAGGCCGAAAGGCGUAGUCGAUGGGAAACAGGUUAAUAUUCCUGUACUUGGUGUUACUGCGAAGGGGGACGGAGAAGGCUAUGUUGGCCGGGCGACGGUUGUCCCGGUUUAAGCGUGUAGGCUGGUUUUCCAGGCAAAUCCGGAAAAUCAAGGCUGAGGCGUGAUGACGAGGCACUACGGUGCUGAAGCAACAAAUGCCCUGCUUCCAGGAAAAGCCUCUAAGCAUCAGGUAACAUCAAAUCGUACCCCAAACCGACACAGGUGGUCAGGUAGAGAAUACCAAGGCGCUUGAGAGAACUCGGGUGAAGGAACUAGGCAAAAUGGUGCCGUAACUUCGGGAGAAGGCACGCUGAUAUGUAGGUGAAGUCCCUCGCGGAUGGAGCUGAAAUCAGUCGAAGAUACCAGCUGGCUGCAACUGUUUAUUAAAAACACAGCACUGUGCAAACACGAAAGUGGACGUAUACGGUGUGACGCCUGCCCGGUGCCGGAAGGUUAAUUGAUGGGGUUAGCGGUAACGCGAAGCUCUUGAUCGAAGCCCCGGUAAACGGCGGUACCGUAACUAUAACGGUCCUAAGGUAGCGAAAUUCCUUGUCGGGUAAGUUCCGACCUGCACGAAUGGCGUAAUGAUGGCCAGGCUGUCUCCACCCGAGACUCAGUGAAAUUGAACUCGCUGUGAAGAUGCAGUGUACCCGCGGCAAGACGGAAAGACCCCGUGAACCUUUACUAUAGCUUGACACUGAACAUUGAGCCUUGAUGUGUAGGAUAGGUGGGAGGCUUUGAAGUGUGGACGCCAGUCUGCAUGGAGCCGGCCUUGAAAUACCACCCUUUAAUGUUUGAUGUUCUAACGUUGGCCCCUGAUCGGGGUUGCGGACAGUGUCUGGUGGGUAGUUUGACUGGGGCGGUCUCCUCCUAAAGAGUAACGGAGGAGCACGAAGGUUGGCUAAUCCUGGUCGGACAUCAGGAGGUUAGUGCAAUGGCAUAAGCCAGCUUGACUGCGAGCGUGACGGCGCGAGCAGGUGCGAAAGCAGGUCAUAGUGAUCCGGUGGUUCUGAAUGGAAGGGCCAUCGCUCAACGGAUAAAAGGUACUCCGGGGAUAACAGGCUGAUACCGCCCAAGAGUUCAUAUCGACGGCGGUGUUUGGCACCUCGAUGUCGGCUCAUCACAUCCUGGGGCUGAAGUAGGUCCCAAGGGUAUGGCUGUUCGCCAUUUAAAGUGGUACGCGAGCUGGGUUUAGAACGUCGUGAGACAGUUCGGUCCCUAUCUCGCCGUGGGCGCUGGAGAACUGAGGGGGCUGCUCCUAGUACGAGAGGACCGGAGUGGACGCAUCACUGGUGUUCGGGUUGUCAUGCCAAUGGCACUGCCCGGUAGCUAAAUGCGGAAGAGAUAAGUGCUGAAAGCAUCUAAGCACGAAACUUGCCCCGAGAUGAGUUCUCCCUGACUCCUUGAGAGUCCUGAAGGAACGUUGAAGACGACGACGUUGAUAGGCCGGGUGUGUAAGCGCAGCGAUGCGUUGAGCUAACCGGUACUAAUGAACCGUGAGGCUUAACCUU